rnacentral:lncRNA from 1 species
GUCUGUGGGGAGCUUCGUUCCAGGUCCAGAGAAGGUGAUGUCCAGGCUAGAGCCGGGAGUGCCUGGGGGACCCAUGUCAGCUGUGUCUGUUUCCUCCCAGGUCAUCAAGCCAACGUUCGCACCCCCAGUGCCCCCAGUCAAACCCGGGGCUGGUGCGGCCAACCCUGGUCCAGCUGAGGGUGCUGUUGGCCCAAAGGUUGCCCUGAAGCCCCCCAUCCAGAGGAAGCAAGGAGCCGGAGCUCCCACAGCACCCUAGGGGGGCACCUGCGCCUGUGUGGAAAUUUGGAGAAGUUGCGGCAGAGAAGCCAUGCGUUCCAGCAUUCCACGGUCCAGCUAGUGCCGCUCAGCCCUAGACCCUGACUUUGCAGGCUCAGCUGCUGUUCUAACCUCAGGAAUGCAUCUACCUGAG